rnacentral:rRNA from 1 species
GACGAACGCUGGCGGCGGGCUUAACACAUGCAAGUCGAACGGAAAGGCCCUGCUUGUGUGGUGUGCUCGAGUGGCGAACGGGUGAGUAACACGUGAGUAACCUGCCCUUGACUUUGGGAUAACGUCAGGAAACUGGGGCUAAUACCGGAUAGGAGCUCCUGCUGCAUGGUGGGGGUUGGAAAGUUUCGGCGGUUGUGGAUGGACGUUCGGCUUGUCAGCUUGUUGGUGGGUGAGUAGCUUACCAAGGCUUUGACGGGUAGCGGGCCUGAGAGGGUGACCGGCGACAUUGGCCAUGCGCUUCGGCCCAGAAUCAUACGGGAGGAAGCAGUGGUGAAUAUUGCACAAUGGGCGGCAGCCCGAUGCAGCAACGACGCGUGCGGGAUGACGGAACUCCGGUUGUACACCGAUUUCGAUCAUGACGAAGCUUUGUGUGACGGUAGUGGAUAAAGAAGCACCGGCUAACUACGUG